CGUGUGGGGUGCUGUAGCAUUGCAUAUGGACCGACGUAAUGAUUAAUAGGGACGGUCGGGGGCAUCAGUAUUCAGUUGUCAGAGGUGAAAUUCUUGGAUUUACUGAAGACUAACUACUGCGAAAGCAUUUGCCAAGGACGUUUUCAUUAAUCAAGAACGAAAGUUAGGGGAUCGAAGACGAUCAGAUACCGUCGUAGUCUUAACCGUAAACUAUGCCGACUAGGGAUCGGAGGGCGUUACAAUAACCUUUCCGGCACCUUACGAGAAAUCAAAGUUUUUGGGUUCUGGGGGGAGUAUGGUUGCAAGGCUGAAACUUAAAGGAAUUGACGGAAGGGCACCACCAGGAGUGGAGCCUGCGGCUUAAUUUGACUCAACACGGGGAAACUCACCAGGUCCAGACACAAUAAGGAUUGACAGAUUGAGAGCUCUUUCAUGAUUUUGUGGGUGGUGGUGCAUGGCCGUUCUUAGUUGGUGGAGUGAUUUGUCUGCUUAAUUGCGAUAACGAACGAGACCUUAACCUGCUAAAUAGCUGUAACAAUAGAUUAUUGUUUUGACAGCUUCUUAGAGGGACUAUCGAUUUUCAAGUCGAAGGAAGUUUGAGGCAAUAACAGGUCUGUGAUGCCCUUAGACGUUCUGGGCCGCACGCGCGCUACACUGACGGAGCCAGCGAGUCUAACCUGUGCCGAGAGGUAUGGGUAAUCUUGUGAAACUCCGUCGUGCUGGGGAAGG
rnacentral:rRNA from 1 species